rnacentral:rRNA from 1 species
GUCAAAGCGUUCAUUAAAGUCGAGUUGGCUUAGGGAUACGUUCGUUGGGUAGGGGAGCGUUCUGUAAGCCUGUGAAGGUGUGUCGUGAGGCAUGCUGGAGGUAUCAGAAGUGCGAAUGCUGACAUAAGUAACGAUAAAGCGGGUGAAAAGCCCGCUCGCCGGAAGACCAAGGGUUCCUGUCCAACGUUAAUCGGGGCAGGGUGAGUCGACCCCUAAGGCGAGGCCGAAAGGCGUAGUCGAUGGGAAACGGGUUAAUAUUCCCGUACUUGGUGUUACUGCGAAGGGGGGACGGAGAAGGCUAUGUUGGCCGGGCGACGGUUGUCCCGGUUUAAGCGUGUAGGUGUGUGUUCCAGGUAAAUCCGGUUCACUUUAACACUGAGGCGUGACGACGAGGCACUACGGUGCUGAAGCAACAA